rnacentral:rRNA from 1 species
AUACGAGGGGUGCAAGCGUUAUUCGGAAUCAUUGGGCGUAAAGGGUGCGUAGACGGCAUACUAAGUCAGUUGUUAAAUCUCUUGGCCUAACCAAGAGCCCGCGACUGAUACUGGUAAGCUAGAGGAUGGAAGAGAGAAGUGGAAUUCUCGGAGUAGCGGUAAAAUGCGUAGAUCUCGAGAGGAACACCAAUGGCGAAGGCAGCUUCUUGGUCCAUAUCUGACGUUGAGGCACGAAAGCGUGGGUAGCAAACAGGAUUAGAAACCCGUGUAGUCC